GAUGAACGCUGGCGGCGUGCCUAAUACAUGCAAGUCGAGCGAACGGACGAGGAGCUUGCUUCUCUGUCGUUAGCGGCGGACGGGUGAGUAACGCGUGGAUCCCCUCCCUAUAAGACUGGGAUAACUUCGGGAAACCGGAGCUAAUCCCGGAUAAUCUCUUGCACCGCAUGGUUCAAAGGUGAGAGUCGGUCUUGCUGUCACUUCUAGAUGGAUCCGCGCUGCAUUAGCGAGUUGGUAAGGUAACGGCCUACCAAGGCAACGAUGCAUAGCCGACCUGAGAGGGGGGUCGGCCACACUGGAACGGAGACACGGUCCAGACGCCUACGGGAGGCAGCAGUAGGGAAUCUGACGCAAUGGGCGAAAGCCUGACGGAGCGACGCCGCGUGAGUUAUGAAGGUCUUCGGAUCGGAAAACUCUGUUAUUAGGGAAGAACAUAUGUGGAAGGAACUGUGCACAUCGUGACGGUACCGAGUCAGAAAGCCACGGCUAACUACGUG
rnacentral:rRNA from 1 species